rnacentral:rRNA from 1 species
CAGCUUGUUGGUGAGGUAGUGGCUCACCAAGGCGACGACGGGUAGCCGGCCUGAGAGGGCGACCGGCCACACUGGGACUGAGACACGGCCCAGACUCCUACGGGAGGCAGCAGUGGGGAAUAUUGCACAAUGGGCGAAAGCCUGAUGCAGCGACGCCGCGUGAGGGAUGACGGCCUUCGGGUUGUAAACCUCUUUCAGCAGGGAAGAAGCGAAAGUGACGGUACCUGCAGAAGAAGCGCCGGCUAACUACGUGCCAGCAGCCGCGGUAAUACGUAGGGCGCAAGCGUUGUCCGGAAUUAUUGGGCGUAAAGAGCUCGUAGGCGGCUUGUCACGUCGGUUGUGAAAGCCCGGGGCUUAACCCCGGGUCUGCAGUCGAUACGGGCAGGCUAGAGUUCGGUAGGGGAGAUCGGAAUUCCUGGUGUAGCGGUGAAAUGCGCAGAUAUCAGGAGGAACACCGGUGGCGAAGGCGGAUCUCUGGGCCGAUACUGACGCUGAGGAGCGAAAGCGUGGGGAGCGAACAGGAUUAGAUACCCUGGUAGUCCACGCCGUAAACGGUGGGCACUAGGUGUGGGCAACAUC